rnacentral:misc_RNA from 1 species
AAAUUAAAACUUUUUUAAUUAAAGAAAAAUUAAAAAAAAUAUAAAGAAAAGUGUAAUAUAACAACAAAGAAAAACAAUUUUAAGCAAAAUAUAUUUUUGAAAGAAUUUUGAAACACUCGCUGCAUAGCACGCGCAAACGUACGUCAACGCCCAUUAAUAUAUAUCCACUUGCACCACACUCAUCCACUGGCAUCUCACUCGCACAUGUAACGCAUAUUUGUGUGAUACUUGCAACAUUUCACAUUCACAGUUAACAAAUAUAAAUAUAUCAACAAAGUAAUACAUAUAUAUUUUUGGAAAUAUUUACUAUGUGCUGGUUAGACCUGUUCCUACAUCUAUGGAGUUUCAUCUAGACAGUGCAGAAUACUGCCAAGCACAGCACAAAUAAAA